UUCUCCCCAGCUGCUCUCUGCUUUCCCCAAUGCACAGAAACCCCAGUGAGCCCUGACUCAAGCAGCUACCCUUCCCAGUGGAGUCACUGCUGUGGCA